rnacentral:rRNA from 1 species
GAUGAACGCUAGCUACAGGCUUAACACAUGCACGUCGAGGGACCGGCGCACGGGUGAGUAACACGUAUACAACCUGCCCUUUACUCGGGGAUAGCCUUUCGAAAGAAAGAUUAAUAACCGAUAACAAGGAUGGGGAUGCGUUCCAUUAGGUGGUUGGUGAGGUAACGGCCCACCAAACCUUCGAUGGCUAGGGGUUCUGAGAGUAAGUCCCCCCACAUUGUAACUGCGACACUGUCCAAACUCCUACGGGAGGCAGCAGUGAGUAAUACUGGUCAAUGUGCGUUAGCCUGAACCAGCCAAGUAGCGUGAAGGAUGAAGGCUUAUGGGUCGUAAACUUCUUUUAUAUAAGAAUAUGUAUUAUAUGAAUAAGGAUCGGCUAACUCCGUGCCAGCAGCCGCGGUAAUUC